rnacentral:rRNA from 1 species
GGCUAUACAUGCAAGUCGAACGGUAUCUGCUUCGGCAGGUAUAGUGGCGAACGGGUGAGUAACGCGUACGCAAUUUGCCCCUGGGAGGGGGAUAGCCCUGGGAAACCGGGAGUAAUACCCCAUAAAGUAUCGAUGUUGCCUAACAUUGUUACCAAAGUUGAGGCGCCCAGGGAUGAGCGUGCGUCCGAUUAGCUAGUUGGUAGGGUAAUGGCCUACCAAGGCGAUGAUCGGUAGGGGGCGUGAGAGCGUGGCCCCCCACACGGGUACUGAGACACGGACCCGACUCCUACGGGAGGCAGCAGUAAGGAAUAUUGGGCAAUGGGCGGAAGCCUGACCAGCCAUCCCGCGUGCAGGAAGAAGGCCCUAUGGGUCGUAAACUGCUUUUGUUUGAGAAGAACAGGACGCAUUUAUGCGUUUGUGACGGUAUCUUACGAAUAAGCACCGGCUAACUCCGUGCCAGCAGCCGCGGUAAUACGGAGGGUGCAAGCGUUAUCCGGAAUCACUGGGUUUAAAGGGUGCGUAGGCGGCAAAAUAAGUCAGAGGUGAAAGCUUGCAGCUCAACUGUAAAAUUGCCUUUGAUACUGUUAUGCUUGAAUGAGGGUGAGGCAGGCAGAACGUGGCAUGUAGCGGUGAAAUGCAUAGAUAUGCCACAGAAUACCGAUUGCGAAGGCAGCCUGCUGG